CAUCUGUGAUGAUCCUAUCCCGAACCUGAAUUCUCUGCUGAAAAACCGAGUACGGAUCCGGCAUCUGAGAU
rnacentral:snoRNA from 1 species